rnacentral:misc_RNA from 1 species
CAUUAAACCCCAAACCCCACUCUUCCUUUUAACUAUCCCUGCUUUAAAACCUCAUCAACAACCCCUCGCUCCCUCUCUCUGGUGGGAAAAGAAAGCAAAAGAAGGGGAGGAGAGAGAUUUUCGAUCAAAUUCUCAGAUCUCUCUCUGCACGAGUUCAAGACCUUUAAUCGCUUUAUCAAAUAACCAAAAUGGGCCAGCAAUCGUUGAUCUACUCAUUCGUUUCAUGUGGAAAUGUGAUUCUUGCUGAGUACACAGAAUUCGGUGGCAAUUUCAAUUCCAUAGCGUUUCAG